AUCCAGCUGACGAGUCCCAAAUAGGACGAAACGUGCGUCAUGUAU
rfam:Schistosoma haematobium scaffold577_2, whole genome shotgun sequence.